GUAGGCGACUAUUUGUAGGUGACUAUCUAUGGGUGACUAUCUGUAGGUGACUAUAUAUAUAGUAGGCAACUAUCUGUAGGUGACUAUCUAUGGGUGACUAUCUGUAGGUGACUAUAUAUAUAGUAGGCAACUAUCUGUAGGUGACUAUCUAUGGGUGACUAUCUGUAGGUGACUAUAUAUAUAGUAGGCAACUAUCUGUAGGUGACUAUCUAUGGGUGACUAUCUGUAGGUGACUAUAUAUAUAGUAGGCAACUAUCUGUAGGUGACUAUCUAUGGGUGACUAUCUGUAGGUGACUAUAUAUAUAGUAGGCAACUAUCUGUAGGUGACUAUCUAUGGGUGACUAUCUGUAGGUGACUAUAUAUAUAGUAGGCAACUAUCUGUAGGUGACUAUCUAUGGGUGACUAUCUGUAGGUGACUAUAUAUAUAGUAGGCAACUAUCUGUAGGUGACUAUCUAUGGGUGACUAUCUGUAGGUGACUAUAUAUAUAGUAGGCAACUAUCUGUAGGUGACUAUAUAUGGGAGACUAUCUGUAGGUGACUAUAUAUAUAGUAGGCAACUAUCUGUAGGUGACUAUCUAUGGGUGACUAAGGUCCUGUUCCUCUGCCCAGAUAUUUUUUGCUGACACAUGCCAUAUCUUACAACACCUGGAUAGGUAUUUUAUAUCAGUUUACCACAUCAUAUGUUACAGCAAUCUGGUGCCCGACGGCACAGUCCAUGCAACGUCUGAGCAGUGGAACACGACGUAUCUAUAGGUGACUAUCUGUAGGUGACAGGGCUGAAGUGGCAGAAGUGUAAAUAUGUAUAGGUCGGAUAUUGAUGGAUUCACAAGGUGGGGCUACAAACCAUAUGACUUUGAAUAGAGGGUCACUGUUGUAUGAUCUGUAACACAUUACGGCUACAUAAGAUUACUACAUGCCUCAAGCCCUGCUGUGUGUUCUGGGCCCUGCUCUUAGUUAUGUCAUAUAGUGUUAUGUAGUCCUUAUGACAGAGCGUUCAAGUAAAGUCCAACCAUAUGAUCAUAUUAAUGAAAAGAUUAUCCUCAAAUUGGGAUCAAAGCACAGUAAGUGUCGGUGAUAUUCUCACCACUCAUCUAACAGAGGACGUGUACAAACUCUCAUCUAAAACCAGACAAAGAGAUGAGGACAAAGAACAGAACAGUGUGAGGUUGGAGUGCUAAAUGAUGUCUUCACGAGGCACCCAGAGGCCUGUGGUGCAGAACAGACGACAGAGGGAGACACACACACACACAAUACCCACGCAUGCAUGCACUCACAAACAGACCCACACACACACAAUACCCACGCAUGCAUGCACUCACAAACAGACCCACACACACACAAUACCCACACAUGCAUGCACUCACAAACAGACCCACACACACACACACAUACACACACAUUUCAGGGACCCUUUUUGGCUCUUGAGCGUUACUUUCAGAAUUACUGGUUUAAAAGUUUACAAAACAUCUGUUCAAUCACUCACACACACAGAUAGAUGUACUCACACACACAGAUAGAUGUACUCACACACAUAGAUAGAUGCACUCACACACAGAGAUAGAUGCACUCACACACACAGAGAUAGAUGCACUCACACACACAGAGAUAGAUGCACUCACACACACAGACCCUGACGUUAAUGAUCAAGAGAGAGACUGAAG